GGAUGUUUGACAGCAGAGCCAACAAUAACAAGACAGAACGUGUCCGACAAAAAGACGAAAACGACUAUCAAAGAGCGACCAGGAUACAGAGUCCACCACCGCUUCGUAAUACUGGGCGUGUUCAAGGGAGUGGGAUGAAAAAUGGGUUUACAGCCUGCGAAUCCACGCUGACGUCAAAGUAGCCUACAGCUAUUAAUAAAAAUGCACUGAACAAUAGUAGCCAACAGUAGCCUACAGUAAUAAAAAUAUGUGCAUGUAAAUCUAAAUGUCAGAAAGAACUGUCACUCAGUUAGGAAGGCUAUAGAGGUCACAUAUUUGUCUUGGUAUGUUAUGUUUAUUAGGAUAACAUAAUAUUGUAUAUUGUUGUGUUGUUAUAAUGUAAUAAAGUUGUGUGUCAGAUGAACAAAGAAUGAAUGCAUGAACCUAUAGUGGGAAUACAAAGUAUGUAGAGUAUGUGUAUCUUCUAAAAAAUAAAUUAUGCUCCAGAAUUGAUCAAGACUAAACUGAAAA